rnacentral:rRNA from 1 species
UGGGGAAUUUUGGACAAUGGACGCAAGUCUGAUCCAGCCAUGCCGCGUUCGGGAAGAAGGCCUUCGGGUUGUAAACCGCUUUUGUCAGGGAAGAAACGAGUUUCUCUAAUACAGAGACUUAAUGACGGUACCUGAAGAAUAAGCACCGGCUAACUACGUGCCAGCAGCCGCGGUAAUACGUAGGGUGCAAGCGUUAAUCGGAAUUACUGGUCGUAAAGCGUGCGCAGGCGGUUAUGUAAGACAGAUGUGAAAUCCCCGGGCUCAACCUGGGAACUGCAUUUGUGACUGCAUAGCUGGAGUGCGGCAGAGGGGGAUGGAAUUACGCGUGUAGCAGUGAAAUGCGUAGAUAUGCGGAGGAACACCGAUGGCGAAGGCAAUCCACUGGACCUGCACUGACGCUCAUGCACGAAAGCGUGGGGAGAAAACA